rnacentral:rRNA from 1 species
GAUGAACGCUAGCGGCGUGCUUAACACAUGCAAGUCGAACGUGAUCCAUUAGCAAUAGUGGUGAAAGUGGCGAACGGGUGAGUAACACGUAGGUAACCUGCCCUGAAGCGGGGGAUAACGAUUGGAAACGGUCGCUAAUACCGCAUGAGUCCAUCGAAGCGGGAGUGAGAUGGAGAAAACUGAGGUGCUUCAGGAGGGGUCUGCGUCCGAUUAGCUAGUUGGUGAGGUAACGGCUCACCAAGGCGACGAUCGGUAGCUGGUCUGAGAGGACGAUCAGCCACACGGGAACUGAGACACGGUCCCGACUCCUACGGGGGGCAGCAGUGAGGAAUAUUGGGCAAUGGGCGGAAGCCUGACCCAGCAACGCCGCGUGAAGGAUGAAGGCCUUCGGGUUGUAAACUUCUUUUAUGGGGGAAGAGCAAGGACGGUACCCCAGGAAUAAGUCACGGCUAACUACGUGCCAGCCGCCGCAGUAAAAC